ensembl:snoRNA
AUUAUUUUGUGAUUCAUAAGCAUGACUGGGUGUUCACACUCACAGGUGAGAAAUGCCCCCUCCAACCUUCUGAUGGUGUCAGCACAUUACCUGUCUGGCA